CUGGGUGAGCUUGAAAAAUACACGUUUCGCACCGCUACCCCCAAGUCAAUCGGCCUGGGGUGGGAUCCAGAUACUUGUCUUCUUAAAAGUUCCCGGAAGUUCCAGAGACCUGCCAAGGCUAACAAACUGCAGGAGUUUGGGCUGCUUCCAGGGAUGGUUUCAAAGCUGGCCCAGCGCGGUCGCACGGCGCCUCCCACUGCAGGGACCAGCGGAUACGGAAGGACUGAAGCAGAUGGCGGAUGGGCUCCAUUCAGGUGGCACCUGAGGGCAACUGUUCCAGAUUACCUCUCCUCUGAGGCCAGCUGAGCAUCGCUCUUAGACCAAUCUGGAAGAGUCUUCAAGGCUUUACUGCUUCUUCAGCGGACUGUUGAUUGACACGAAAAUUACAUUGCUGACAAGCGAUCCUGUCCCCGAAAAACAAAAGCGAAAUAAAAGAAA